UACGGAGGGGACUAGCGUUGCUCGGAAUCACUGGGCGUAAAGCGCACGUAGGCGGAUCUUUAAGUCAGGGGUGAAAUCCUGGAGCUCAACUCCAGAACUGCCUUUGAUACUGAGGAUCUUGAGUCCGGGAGAGGUGAGUGGAACUCCGAGUGUAGAGGUGAAAUUCGUAGAUAUUCGGAAGAACACCAGUGGCGAAGGCGGCUCACUGGCCCGGUACUGACGCUGAGGUGCGAAAGCGUGGGGAGCAAACAGG
rnacentral:rRNA from 1 species